UACGUAGGUCCCGAGCGUUGUCCGGAUUUAUUGGGCGUAAAGCGAGCGCAGGUGGUUUAUUAAGUCUGGUGUAAAAGGCAGUGGCUCAACCAUUGUAUGCAUUGGAAACUGGUAGACUUCAGUGCAGGAGAGGAGAGUGGAAUUCCAUGUGUAGCGGUGAAAUGCGUAGAUAUAUGGAGGAACACCGGUGGCGAAAGCGGCUCUCUGGCCUGCAACUGACACUGAGGCUCGAAAGCGUGGGGAGCAAACAGG
rnacentral:rRNA from 1 species